ensembl:lncRNA
GAGAUGGGGAAGCUGGGGGAUUUCCAUUAAGGAGAAACCAGAGACGAUCAAAGGAGGAGGAGAGUGGUGCUGCCCUUUAAGAAAGCCUGCCAGAGCUCUGGAACUGGGACUCUUAAGAAACUUCUGUAAUGUGCCAAGUAAAGUGAGAAAGCUCUUCGUGGGGUCAAAAGAGAAGCUACAAGAGGAGGCCCCACGGAAGACUUGGCAGAAGAGAGUGGGAAGGAGCAUGGACUCCAUAGCUGAAUGUGGCUCAGACAAAGCAUCUGUCUCUCCGUCUUUCAAUCAAACUUACAAAGAAAAUCAUCAGGCCCUCAGUGGAGAAAUGAGUAAUGCACAGGAUUUCAUGGAAGAGGAAACAGGACUAGUAAAUAAACGGAUGGAAGACUGAGGUCCAUCCUAACUAGAAAUAAAAUGAAAAGCACAUUUGAGGUGCAGUUUUCUUUUUUAAACUAAACUUGCAAGAUUUUAUUAAGUGGUAACACUCAGUUCUGG